rnacentral:rRNA from 1 species
UCGAACGGGGUUAAGGGAAAUUUUCGGAUGGAACUUAACUUAGUGGCGGACGGGUGAGUAACGCGUGGAUAACCUGCCUCACACUGGGGGAUAGCAGCUGGAAACGGCUGGUAAUACCGCAUAAGACCACAGCACCGCAUGGUGCAGGGGUAAAAGAUUUAUCGGUGUGAGAUGGAUCCGCGUCUGAUUAGCCAGUUGGCGGGGUAACGGCCCACCAAAGCGACGAUCAGUAGCCGGCCUGAGAGGGUGAACGGCCACAUUGGGACUGAGACACGGCCCAAACUCC